rnacentral:rRNA from 1 species
UACGUAGGGUGCAAGCGUUGUCCGGAUUUAUUGGGCGUAAAGAGCGUGUAGGCGGUUUUACAGGUCCGCUGUGAAAACUCGAGGCUCAACCUCGAGACGUCGGCGGAAACCAUCCAGCUAGAGUCCGGAAGAGGAGAGUGGAAUUCCUGGUGUAGCGGUGAAAUGCGCAGAUAUCAGGAAGAACACCCGUGGCGAAAGCGGCUCUCUGGGACGGUACUGACGCUGAGACGCGAAAGCGUGGGGAGCGAACAGG